rnacentral:rRNA from 1 species
GAUGAACGCUAGCGGCAGGCCUAAUACAUGCAAGUCUAACGGGAUCCAGAUCAAAGCUUGCUUUGGUCUGGUGAGAGUGGCGCACGGGUGCGUAACGCGUGAGCAACCUACCCUUGUCAGGGGGAUAGCCCGGCGAAAGUCGGAUUAAUACCGCAUGACAUCAUUGAGAGGCAUCUUUCGAUGAUCAAAGAUUUAUCGGACAAGGAUGGGCUCGCGUGACAUUAGCUAGUUGGUAAGGUAACGGCUUACCAAGGCUGCGAUGUCUAGGGGCUCUGAGAGGAGAAUCCCCCACACUGGUACUGAGACACGGACCAGACUCCUACGGGAGGCAGCAGUAAGGAAUAUUGGUCAAUGGACGGAAGUCUGAACCAGCCAUGCCGCGUGCAGGAAGACGGCCCUAUGGGUUGUAAACUGCUUUUAUACGGGAACAAACGUCGGUACGUGUACCGGUCUGAGUGUACCGUAAGAAUAAGGAUCGGCUAACUCCGUG